UACAGAGGGUGCAAGCGUUGUUCGGAAUUACUGGGCGUAAAGCGCGUGUAGGCGGCGCGGUAAGUCCUGUGUGAAAGCCCCGGGCUCAACCCGGGAAGUGCGCAGGAUACUGCAGUGCUUGAGUGACGGAGAGGAUGGCGGAAUACCCGGUGUAGAGGUGAAAUGCGUAGAGAUGUGGAGGAACACCGAUGGCGAAGGCAGCCCCCUGGGUCAAGAUUGACGCUCAUGCACGAAAGCGUGGGGAGCAAACAGG
rnacentral:rRNA from 1 species